rnacentral:misc_RNA from 1 species
UCAUAGCUGUUUGUAAAAUAGAGCUCGACUCAUUCGUCCCCUGUAUCCUCUCCACUCUUUCAUUGCCUCAUUGGACGCAAAGGAGAGGACUAGUGAUAUGGCGUCUCAGUUACACCCUGAUAAGGAAUCGCACUUGUUAGAGACGACGGCUAAAGUGAAGCACGUCAGAGAAGAAGUGACCAAGAAAUUGGACCAGUAUCGUAAGCAAUAUGAAGAGAUGCACAUUAGAGCUCUUACUGCUGAAGUCGAGGUUUCAAACUUGCAACUGAAACUCGAUGAUGUGUUGAGACAGCGCAGCUCCCAGCAUGAUCACGUCCUGUCUCUCAUUGAUGAGAUUGCUAAAGAGAAAUCAAUGAGAGAGGAUUUAUCACUGGCACUUGAUACAGCUAGAGACAAGCUCAAUGAAAUACACAAGAUACUAACUAAAGAAUUUGGAAAGAUACAGACCAAUCAGAAGGACCUGAGAGUCGCUGUCAACUCAUUCAUGAGGUGUGUCUAUGAAUUUAAGACUGGAGUUAUAUCACAGAAUGAUUUCCUGUCAGUAGUUGAGCUAAUAUUCACUUCACUUGAAGCAAGCGAGACUGCUCUACUCUCCCCCAUUGCCUCACAGAAGGAGCCGUCCUCUCAUCUUGAUAUUGUAUUCAACAGGAGCAGCAUACACGAGCUAGCCUCCCUCACUCCUGACAUGAGACGCAAGAAACUAGAAGUACUCCUUGAUAAAUUACUCCCUGAAAGCCUCUUUAAUAAUCUCUCACCUUCUGGGGACUUCUUGACUCAGUUGUUUGAACUCCCAGACUCUCCUUCAUUGCGUACCUCUCCCCUAACUCCUCCCACUAUUCCUCCUCUUCACUCUGCUCCUAAACGCUCUAUCACUAAACCACACACAAUGCCUCCCCUCCCUCCCCCUCUCCCUCCUAAACCCUCCCCCACUCCUCCCCCUAACUCGGUCCAUGGCAAGCAUUACAUUGCAAUGGAAAAUGGCAGUGCUGCUAAUCCUGAUGAGGACUCGGAUGACUCUGAGUCUGAUUUUGUUGAUAUACAAGAGAUCAAUAGACAGACUCUAUCGCAGAAGAAUGCUUUGAAGCAACAGGCCUCUGCUACUGCUACAACAGCUGGAAGAGAGAAGCUCGCUGAUUGGAUGAAAGUCUCUCGUCCGAGACACUUAAAGUCUCACAAAGUUUCCUUCAAGCGUUCAAUGUCGUGUGACCUCUUAGACGUGUCAGGAGAGAGCGCUGAUUCCACUGAUAGCUCUUAUGCUUACUCCUUUGCAUUCCAGCACGUACAAGCAUGGAGGAAACUAAUAGGCCUGCGAGACAGCAGCGUAUUGACAGGGAGCUUACCUCGGAUACACAGUGAUGGGUGUGUCGAUGAGGAGAACCUGUACUACAUUGCACCCAAUGACUUCAGAUCAGUCCUUUCUCAAGUGAGAGGAGAAAGUAUGAAAAUGGGAGGACAAGAGGUGACAGAGAGGGCCAUACAGAGGGUUGACUCCAUUGUCACUACUCACAGGUCAUCCACUUUGAUAGAAUCGGCUGAGUACCUGUCACUGUUGAGAGGUACUGAUCCUCCUAGGACAAAGAAGGACUGGUUUAAAGUGAAGGACAGAGGUUCGAGUAAAACUAAACCCAUGACAACCCCACGUCUUAAUUACGAAAACCAACCGAAACCGUUCCCGCAGCGACAAAGCUCUGCCCCUAAGAAUAUUAUGUCCAGCACAACUCGAUCAUUCCCUUUAUCUCCAAUACAUUCUUUACCUUUUGAUGAUCCAAAAUACGGUCGUGUGACCACUACUCAUUUUAGUGAUAUUUAUAAUAGCCCCGAGACAUCCCCAUCUCCACCCCCUAGAUCAUCUCUGCACAACAGAUUCACACAAAUUGAAGGGAACAGUGCCAAAACCGGUAGGACUAGUAUGACUGGUUUAUCCCCAGUCCCUGGUAGCCCAAUACUACAAAGCAAAGGGGCCCCUGCUUUACCCCCUAAGACCCACAAUAAGGUUGAUAUACAGAUCAGGGACCCUCCCCCUCUUCCCUCCUCUUUCUCUUCUGUCCCCCCGGCCCAUUCUCCCAGUCCUAAACCGAUACCUAAACCUCGAUUCAAGAAGGACAGCGUUCAUGGUAGUACUGCUAGGUCUAGUCUUCCUUCUUCUGCUCCUCCUCCUCUUCCUCCCUUUCAUCCAGUCACUAGCUCUCUCCCUCCAUUAGAGACCUCAGCAGUAUUGAAGCCGCCGGUUGAGAAUGAUGCUUUAACCAGCCCUGCAUACUUCUCACUCAAAAGAGGGACUCAUUCUCUGCAGCUAAUUCCUCAGUUUUAUGAUUCUGAUGAUGAUCAUGAUGAUGAUGAUCUGAGCUCUUAUUCUCUUGGAGAGUUUAAGCUAGUAGAGAGGAAGGAGUCUUUACCAAUGUGUGAUAUAAAGGAGCAAUCCUUAGAUCCUAACUCAGGAGAGUGUACUCAGAGUUCAGUAUCAGAUAGCAGUGAUGAUGAGUACAUGAUACCACCUGAUGCUGCUAUUGGUUAUGUUGAGCCGUCAUCAUCUGGACGCAACAGUAAAGAUAUGCCACGCAACAAGAAAUACACUGCAACACUACCGGCAUCAUCUGUCGAUAAUACCAGUUAUGAGAAGCAGGGGUACCUCCAUAAGUUAGAUCCUAGACUAAAGCACUGGACCAGAAGAUGGUUUAUACUGAAAGGAAAAGAAUUGAAAUAUUAUUCAAAAAAAGGUGCAACGUAUCGAGCCAAAGGUGUCAUUAAUCUUGCUGCUUGGUGUAAAGUCACAAGGCAUGAGCUAACCAGCUCAUUCCAAUUGGCUACACCUACCAGGACCUAUCACUUUGUGGCUGACAGUGGAGCUGAUUGUGAAGACUGGAUUAAAGCACUGGAGUCUGUAAUGAGAAUGUGUCAGAACAAUAUGUCAUCACCAGCUACUAAAGACAUACCAGCAAACUGGGCCAAAGUGAAAUUAUCCUCAUGGAGUCAAGGUCAUCAAAAGAUGUGGAUUGCAUUAUUGAAUCAGUCGCUGAUACUGUAUCAAGACCCUGACACUGAUCCCUUGCAGUCCUUCACACUAGUUGAUGCUAUGGUUCGUCACUGUACCGAUGCACCUGGUUUCAGGUCACGCCCAUCAUUCUGUCAUAUCAAAGAUGAGUUCACUAUAGUAGUUGAGUUAUCUGAUCCAACUAACGCGAGCAAUGAACCAGAGACAAUCUCAUUGUCCUUUUCAGAUAAAGAUGAUAUGGAUAAAUGGUUCUAUCACUUAGUGUCUGCAUCAUCAGGUGAAACUGGUCCUGAACUCACUUUAACAGAGAAAGUUGUAGCACGUCUUUAUAGAACAAAGAAAGAAGAACUAGCAUCUGCAACCACAUUAUGGUGUAAUCCAGUCCUUAACUAUACAACUGAGAAUAUCCAGGAGCCAUUAGUAUCCUUACCAUCAACCACACUCACUUUAGAGGCUGUUCAAUUAUUUAAAAGUCUUCAGUUGUUUGUUGCAACUCCAUUUGAUCCACUUGCUCUUGACUAUCACAUUGUAUCUCUUCAGCAAAUUGUCAGUCGGUGCCUACCAGAGACUGCUCUUCACGAUGAGCUCUACUGUCAAAUACUCCGUCAAAUAUCAGCUCCUUCAAGUCUACAGAGCAGCCAUAUUGUCAUGCAGAGCUGGUUCUUGCUCUGUUUACUGAUACCACACAUUCAACCAAGAAGAAAACUCUUCAGUUGGUAUUUGAAGGCUUUCAUAACUCGUCAACAGAGUCAUUUUGGGUCACAGCCUACAAUAAUAGGACAACUGAUUGGUCUUUGUGAUACAAGACUAGCACGGACUGAGAAGAAUGGCCUGAGAGAGAAGAAAGCAUCAUGGUGGGAACUACACUCCUUGAUGUCACGCCCUAUUCACCUUACUUGUGUGAUGCAGAUGAAACUGGGAAUACACAUACACUUACUGAAUGAUACAUCAGUGACAGUAGAUGCUGACUCCUCUACCACAGUACAAGAGUUAGUGUCCCAGUUGAACCAAGAGCUAGGGAUGGAGAGUGUGUGUAGUGUGUACUACUGGUUUCUCACUGAUGAGUGACUGGCCAGGUGAAGAAGGAAUGGACAUAUUCUAUUUAUUUCCAAACAGCAAACUAAUGGAUGUCAUAUCAAUGUGGAGUGACAGUAUGACUGAACUGGGUAGCUCAUCAACUCAUGCACGGACCAUUCGUCUCACGUACCGUAACCGCCUCUCAUUUAAAACAAGGCGUGGCCAAGAAACUGAUAGAGAGGUUAUAUUAUUAGCCUAUCAGUAUAGUAAAGAUGUACUCAAUGAUUAUUAUCUUGUUCCUUCACUUGAUAUUGCUCUUGAUAUUAUAGCAAGAAUGGCACAGAUUGAUUAUGGUGAUUGUAGUUCCCUCACUAAUGCACAAGACAUUGCUAAAGAUGCAGUGAGGAGGUUUUGCUGUCGUAAAUUCACAAUGAACAUACUACCACAUGACAUGGAGCUACUGAGUAGCCGUUUAUUACAGAAAUGGAAAGGAUAUCAUAAUAUCAGUCGCCAGUCUUGCUCUAGAAUGUUACUGACACUGUUAGCUGACA